GCCAGUUUGGCUCAGUGGAUAGAGCAUCAGCCUGCGGACUGAAGCGUUGCGGGUUCGAAUCCAGCCAAAGGCA
rnacentral:tRNA from 1 species